CCGACCAUAGCUCAGUUGGAAGAGCACAAGACUGUAAUUGGCUACACAUAUCUUGGGGUCGCCUGUUCGAACCAGGCUGGUCGGA
rfam:Gymnopus luxurians FD-317 M1 unplaced genomic scaffold GYMLTscaffold_9, whole genome shotgun sequence.